UACGAGGGGGGCGAGCGUUGUUCGGAAUCAUUGGGCGUAAAGCGCACGUAGGCGGCUUGCCAAGUCGGACGUGAAAUCCCUCAGCUCAACUGAGGACGUGCAUCCGAAACUGGCGAGCUUGAGUACUGAAGAGGAUCGCGGAAUUCCCGGUGUAGAGGUGAAAUUCGUAGAUAUCGGGAGGAACACCAGUGGCGAAGGCGGCGAUCUGGGCAGAUACUGACGCUGAGGUGCGAAAGCGUGGGGAGCAAACAGG
rnacentral:rRNA from 1 species